rnacentral:rRNA from 2 species
AAAGAAACCAACCGGGAUUGCCUCAGUAACGGCGAGUGAAGCGGCAAGAGCUCAAAUUUGAAAUCUGGCCCCUCCGGGGUCCGAGUUGUAAUUUGUAGAGGAUGCUUCGGGUGCGGCCCCCGUCUAAGUGCUCUGGAACGGGCCAUCGGAGAGGGUGAGAAUCCCGUCUGGGACGGGGUGUCCGCGUCCAUGUGAAGCUCCUUCGACGAGUCGAGUUGUUUGGGAAUGCAGCUCUAAAUGGGUGGUAAAUUUCAUCUAAAGCUAAAUACUGGCCGGAGACCGAUAGCGCACAAGUAGAGUGAUCGAAAGAUGAAAAGCACUUUGAAAAGAGAGUUAAACAGCACGUGAAAUUGUUGAAAGGGAAGCGCUUGCGACCAGACUCGCUUCCGGGGUUCAGCCGGCUUUCGGGCCGGUGUACUUCCCCGGGGGCGGGCCAGCGUCGGUUUGGGCGGCCGGUCAAAGGCCCCUGGAAUGUAACGCCUCUCGGGGCGCCUUAUAGCCAGGGGUGUCAUGCGGCCAGCCUGGACCGAGGAACGCGCUUCGGCACGGACGCUGGCAUAAUGGUCGUAAACGAC